rnacentral:rRNA from 1 species
UACGUAGGGUGCAAGCGUUGUCCGGAAUUAUUGGGCGUAAAGAGCUCGUAGGCGGUUUGUCGCGUCUGCUGUGAAAACUCGGGGCUUAACUCCGGGCCUGCAGUGGGUACGGGCAGACUAGAGUGCGGUAGGGGAGACUGGAAUUCCUGGUGUAGCGGUGAAAUGCGCAGAUAUCAGGAGGAACACCGGUGGCGAAGGCGGCUCACUGGUCCGGUACUGACGCUGAUGUGCGAAAGCGUGGGGAGCAAACAGG